UACAAUAUUGAAUAACAAAAAAAAAAAUCUAUUAGUUGAUUAAAGUACAGUGACAUGUCCUAAAGUCCCACUGAUAGCAGAUUGGCAGAGUGGAAAGAGAAAUGACUAACAUAUUAUAGUUGUUGAGGAAAAAUUGGGAAGAAAAUUUUUUAACUAGCAAAAUAGAUUAUCUAAAUUCUGCUCAUGGGGGACGGGCUCAGGAUCCUCAGGAUAUAUGGCCUCUUUAUUCCUAAAUCCUACAACAUUCCAUUUUGGAGUUUUCCAGAGUUUCCAGACCAUAUGAAGAGCCAGCUGCAAAGUCUGGAAAAGAGGAAGGACCUUAGGAUCAGAUGCUGGAUUCUCCUCUCCAAGUGAUGUUGAAAGGUUGAAAUGUAAGCACCCACAAAUAUUUCCUCUUAUAUGAAUGCACACUACAAUAAAAGACAGUUGCAGAACUGGGAGUUGCUUAAAGUUGAGAAGAAAGAGGUAUGCGAAGAAAAUUCAUAUGAAUCAGCUGAUGGCUUUUGAGCAGAAGCUAUUUUUGUGUGUUUAUUCAAGCAAACAUUAAACCUACCCCAUUAACAAUUAA